rnacentral:rRNA from 1 species
UACGGGAGGCAGCAGUGGGGAAUCUUGGACAAUGGGGGCAACCCUGAUCCAGCCAUGCCGCGUGUGUGAAGAAGGCCUUCGGGUUGUAAAGCACUUUCAGUAGGGAGGAAGGCUUAUCCUUAAUACGGAUGAGUACUUGACGUUACCUACAGAAGAAGCACCGGCUANNNNNGNGNCAGCAGCCGCGGUAAUACGAAAGGUGCGAGCGUUAAUCGGAAUUACUGGGCGUAAAGCGCGCGUAGGCGGUUUGCUAAGUCAGAUGUGAAAGCCCCGGGCUCAACCUGGGAACUGCAUUUGAAACUGGCAGGCUAGAAUGCAGUAGAGGGAGGUGGAAUUUCCGGUGUAGCGGUGAAAUGCGUAGAGAUCGGACGGAACACCAGUGGCGAUAGGCGGGCUCCUGGAGUGACAUUGACGCUGUGGUGCUAAAGCGUGGGGAGCAAACAGGAUUAGAUACCCUGGUAGUCCACGCUGUAAACGAUGUCUACUAGUCGUUGGGAAUCUUAGUAUUCUUGGUGACGAAGUUAACGCGAUAAGUAGACCGCCUGGAGAGUACGGCCGCGCGGUUAAAACUCAAAUGAAUUG